GGACCCCACUGCUAUCGGGAUGGGACUAAGACAUGCUAGUCGAGCGUCUCCAAGCUAUGGAAGAGACGCGGCACACAGCUCAGUAACACAUGGCUAACCUGCCCUUGGGACAAGGACAACUCCGGGAAACUGGGGCUAAUCCCUGAUAAGUGAGAACUCCUGGAAUGGAUUCUCGCUCAAAGGACGUUUAGACCAUGCUUCUAGGCGUCGCCCAAGGAGGGGGCCGCGACCGAUCAGGUUGUUGGUGAGGUAACGGCUCACCAAGCCUUUAACCGGUACGGGCCGUGAGAGCGGAAGCCCGGAGAUGGGCACUGAGACAAGGGCCCAGGCCCUACGGGGCGCAGCAGUCGCGAAAACUCCGCAAUACACGAAAGUGUGACGGGGCUAUCCCGAGUGCCAUCCGCUGAGGAUGGCUUUUCCCCAGUGUAUAAAGCUGGGGGAAUAAGGAGAGGGCAAGCCUGGUGUCAGCCGCCGCGGUAAUACCAGCUCUCCGAGUGGUGGGGAUGUUUAUUGGGCCUAAAGCAUUCGUAGCCUGCUUGGCAAGUCCUCCGUUAAAUCCAACGAUUCAAUCGUUGGGCUGCGGGGGAUACUGUCCAGCUAGGGGGCGGGAGAGGCCGACGGUAUCCCCGGGGUAGGGGUGAAAUCCUAUAAUCCCGGGAGGACCACCAGUGGCGAANGCUGUCGGCUAGAACGCGCUCGACGGUGAGGGAUGAAAGCUGGGGGAGCGAACCGGAUUAGAUACCCGGGUAGUCCCAGCUGUAAACGAUGCANGCUANGUGUUGGCGCGGCUACGUGCCGCUCCAGUGCCGCAGGGAAGCCGUUAAGCCUGCCGCCUGGG
rnacentral:rRNA from 1 species